UACAGAGGUCUCGAGCGUUGUUCGGAUUCAUUGGGCGUAAAGGGUGCGUAGGUGGCGCUGUAAGUCAGGUGUGAAAUUUCGGAGCUUAACUCCGAAACUGCAUUUGAUACUGCGGUGCUUGAGGACUGGAGAGGAGACUGGAAUUUACGGUGUAGCAGUGAAAUGCGUAGAGAUCGUAAGGAAGACCAGUGGCGAAGGCGGGUCUCUGGACAGUUCCUGGACAGCUGAGGCAACGAAGGCCAGGGGAGCAAACGGG
rnacentral:rRNA from 1 species